GACGAACGCUGGCGGCGUGCUUAACACAUGCAAGUCGAGCGGAAAGGCCACUUCGGUGGUACUCGAGCGGCGAACGGGUGAGUAACACGUGAGUAAUCUGCCCCUGGCUUUGGGAUAGCCACCGGAAACGGUGAUUAAUACCGGAUAUGACCACUCUAGGCAUCUAGUGGUGGUGGAAAGUUUUUCGGCCAGGGAUGUGCUCGCGGCCUAUCAGCUUGAUGGUGAGGUAAUGGCUCACCAUGGCUUCGACGGGUAGCCGGCCUGAGAGGGUGACCGGUCACACUGGGACUGAGACACGGCCCAGACUCCUACGGGAGGCAGCAGUGGGGAAUAUUGGACAAUGGGCGGAAGCCUGAUCCAGCAACGCCGCGUGAGGGAUGACGGCCUUCGGGUUGUAAACCUCUUUCGGUAGGGACGAAGCGUGAGUGACGGUACCUACUAAAGAAGCACCGGCCAACUACGUGCCAGCCGCCGCCGUAAGAC
rnacentral:rRNA from 1 species